rnacentral:tRNA from 2 species
CGGGGUGUAGCUCAGCCUGGUAGAGUACUUGGUUUGGGACCAAGGUGUCGGAGGUUCGAACCCUCUCACCCCGACCA